UUUGCAGUAGUAUUGAAAGUUGGUUCUUUCUCUAUCUCCUUUGGAAGUUGAGGAACUUGAUGCCAUAGGCAAACACAAAGAAGAAAAGAAGAACCCAGCCGACGUGUGCGGCGGCGACGGCCGGAAGGAAGUCAUACUCAAAACCAAAGUCAUCUUUCAGGAACUUCUUCAAUGGCAUGGUGCCAUAUCCAGGCAGGAUAAGGUCAGCAUUCUUGUCACCCACUUGGGAUGUCACAAGGCCAUAAAGUGUCCAGGCCACAGGGGAAGCCCAGUAGUACCACCUCCACCAGAUUGGUAUUUGCUGCAAACACAAUAGAAAUUCAAGGUUAAUUUUUGAACUAUGGACUUUCAUGUAGUGAGGUUAAAUGAAAGCAAUGUGCAUCGACCGCAUAUUUAGGGCUAGUUUGGGAUUGUUUUCGUAAGAAGCAUUUCUACUUGCAUACUGUUUUGUUAGAAGUGCUUCUCCAGAAAACGCUUCUAUGAGCUAGAAGCUAAGGUUUUCUACCAAAUGCAGUUAGAACAAUGUUUGAUAGUCAGAAACCGCUUUUAUCUCUUCUAGAAACAAUCUCAAAUAGGCCCUUAAUUUUGAUAUGACGUACCGGUCUUGGAAUGAGGAAGCCGGAAAACAAGUUCCAGAAACUGAGGAAGAAGGGCAUGACAAUGACAGCAAUCUGGUGGCCCGGAGUCAGUGCAACCACCAUCAUACCGUACAUCGUGAAGUAGAUGAAGCACAUUAGGAUAUAGUAGUAGAACCAAAUGAAUUUUUCGACUUUCCACUUGAAUCCAAUCAUGGAGAAGAGAAGAAGUGUAUAUAUAAAUGUUUGGAUUGCAACAUAGAUUGUCUCUAUAGCCACCUGCAAAAAACAGGGGGGAUAACUUGUCAAUCAAGUAAUAUGAUGUAUACCAAAAGGUCUCUAACAAUUUGUCAAAUUUAUACAUCACCUGAGCAAAUGCAUAAGGCAGUUCAGAAUACAUUCCGGCAGCUCUUUCGCGGUAGAAAACUGUUCUUUCAAUGGCGACAACAAAUCGGACCACAGAAGCAUUCGUGGUUCCAAGGAAAAGCACAGCAGCAUACAUAGCUCCCAAAAGGUUCAUUAGAUCUUGCUGUUGUGCUCUGUUACAAGAAAAUUUUCAUUCAUGAUAAAUAGAGAAUAACAUGAUUUAGUCAAAUUUGCAGUUAAAAAACCAGAGCUUACGUCUGCUGUCCCUUCUGCCAGAAGAUAAGACCGAAUAAGACACCGAUGACAAUGGUCAUAAAGAAUCGGAUGGCAUUGUACUGAGGAUUUCUCCAAUAAGACCAAUGCAUUUUCCAGAAACAAGCUUUGCACUGAACCGGGAAAGGUUGAGAGUAUUUGGUUGGAAAGUAGAGAUCUUUGGACCCGGGAGCCGGUGUACUAAGCUCUUUGAUAAGCUCCUGGUUCCUCCUAAAAGAACAUCGAGAGGAAGAGUGAGAAUCAUAAAACUAGAAAUCAUAGCUUACACGAGAAAGAUAUUACGACACUUACUGGUAAAGCGAGGAGUUUUGGUAAAUGUCUGCAAAGUCCACAUCAAGUUGAGUCUCAACUGCAGGAGCAGUGACCUCAAGCAUCCAUGUAGCAGGAUUGUAGCCAUCCUUGAUCUUGGGCACACCCGGGAUGGCCUGUAGAGGUUAAAGAUAUGAGUCCAAACUGCAUUAAAAUCACAGGAAAUGACUUCCACACAUGCAUUUUCUUCUUCUGCACAACUCGUUUAUUUUGUCACCUGAUUCUCCUUUGAUUUAUUCAAUGUAAGACGAGAAAUAAACAGGGCUCAUGCGGAAAUCACUUCUCUAAAAUUACCAGUGAAGGACGUACAAGAAAUAAGAAGUGAAAGGAAAACUCACUUCAAAAUAUUCCACAAGCUUGUGAGAGUGGCGGCUGAGGGGUCCAGCAUAAAUGACUUGCCCUCCACGUUUCAUCAAGAGUAACUCAUCGAAAGAUUCAAAAAUAUCUAUGCUUGGCUGGUGAAUUGUGCAGACAACAGUUCUGCCUGUGUCCACCGUGUUUCUCACAGUACGCAUGACGAUAGCAGCAGCCCUGGCAUCGAGACCAGAUGUCGGUUCAUCCAUGAAAAUGAUAGAGGGGUCAGCGACCAGCUCCACAGCUAUGGUUAGUCUCUUCCGUUGUUCUGUUGAAAGUCCAUCUAGUCCCGGGAGGCCAACGAGAGAAUUUCUUAUUGGAUUAAGCUCAACCAAAUCCAUGACUUCUUCAACAAACAUCUGUAUCACCAUUAAAAAGAUGAUUGAAAAUAAGAUUUCAAGAUUAAAUUGAAAAUACGAUUUAAAGUCUAGAUAAGAAAGAUUCCAGUGCAACAUACCUUUCGUGUUUGUGUACUGACAUCAGAAGCAAGACGGAGCCAGGCUGAAUACAGGAGAGAUUCAUAGACAGUAACAUGUGGGGAAUGGAUGUCAUUCUGUUCACAAUAACCGCUGACACGAGCAAAUGUUUCUUGGUUCUUUGGAUAACCAGAUAUGUUAAUGGUUCCUUCGAUAUAUCCACCAGUCUUUCUACCUGCCAGGACGUCCAUAAGAGUUGUCUUUCCAGCACCACUAACUCCUACAAGCGCUGUCAAUAUUCCCGGUCUAAAAGCACCACUGACAUCUCGUAGCAAUUGAAGGCGAUCUUCUUCAACUCCAUGAGUCUUCAUUUCCUGGAAUCAGUAACCAAAACGAGUAUAUUUCUUGAUCGAAAUGAGUAUGUGAAGCAUCAGGAAUAAAAUGUCUGAAAUGAACGACUUACAGGGGGCAUAUCCACAAAGUAGUUCACAUGGUUAAACGCAAGCGAAAGGGGUUGGAAGGGCAAAACCAUUCCUUUCUUUGGUGCAUGAUCCGAAGCACCAGCAAUUUCUGAAGAACUUUUUGCUGUCAUUUCUUCACUUAACGACUUGCUUCUCUUUCCUUCACUUUCAUCAUCAGCUAUGACAGCUUUCGCAUCCCCGAGAGCUGAUGUUGGUUCCCCGAAAAGGAAAAGGAGGGUGUGUCAGCUCCGGAACUUCAUUUCCGUUAACAAAAGAGAGUAAAGCUUCAAAGUGAGAUGAACUUACGGUUCAGAAAAGUCAAUGCUGCAAUGAACAAGAUGUUGAAGAGAAGAGAAAAACCAAAUAGUGCUCCAAUACAUAUCCAAAACCAGUAUUCAUCUGUGAAGAAUCCUCUAGACUUGAGAAGGACUUUCCCGACCGUAGUUGCGUUAAUUCUUGGAUCUGUAUUUGGCUGCAAACGAAGAUGAGAAUAGAUUAGAUGAACGCGUUUUUAUGGAACGAAAAAUCUUGAACUGAAGACAAUCAAACCACAGAGAGAUCUUACCGCGCUCCAUCUUUUGUCAAGGAAUUCAUUCAUGACGAUCGCAUUCUGUCCAUACAUCAUGGGAGAAAUGUAGUAGCCCCAUAGCAUCCAAGGCUCAAGGUCAUCUGCAUUCAUAAGAUAAGAAGGAUAGCUUAGAAAGUGAACAAUCAUAAAUAAUUUGAAAUUUUCAAGAAACUUCGAACAAAUUUAAGUAUGCGUUAGCUUGGUUUAAUUACAUUAACACGAUAAGGUCAGAUAUAAGAUCGAUUACUUACUUUUGGCAACAAUAAACCCUCCCAGGACAAAUGCCAUUAGCAAGGUAAAGGUACCGAGCGUGCUAGCAACAACUUGUGUUCUUCCAAGUGCAGCAAUAAACCGAAAGAGGGACAGAGCCAUCUGAUGUAUGCCAAAGAAUGCCAAGAACUGUUUGAAAAAUCUGGAGCAGUGAAAAAAAAAUCGUGUGAGUUGGUGUUCCGGAAGGAUAUAAAUUUAUAAGAUGGAAACUGAAAAAUGUGAACACUACUAUUUACCUGCUAGCAGAUGGAGCAAAUCCAAUGGUGUAAUAGGUAAGAAUGAUCCAAAUCCCUGAUUCCACGAACGAAAGUGGGAUCCUGAGGACCCAAAUUGGUAACCCGAAAGCCCACGCAGGAUAAAACAAGAAAUCCCUCUGCUUAAAAAAAACAGGAAGUCUGAAAACAGUCAUUCCCAGUUCCGCCAUACCAUUCAACAUCACAUUAAUCAGACUGAAGAACAACGCUCCAAAAAAUUUUCCUCCAUUUUGUAUUGUGCCCACAGGCAUUUCUGUUCUAAGGAACACAGUGAAGGCAAUCAAAGACAUGAUUGCAAUCUGCGUGGUCUUGAAUAUGUACACAAACGAAUUGCGCUUCAUUAGCAGCCACUCCCUCGAAAAACAUGCCUUGAACAAUUCCCAGUUUGAAAUGCCAUACUUAUCUGUGACCAAUGCAGCCGGAUGAGCUCUGGACUUGUCGUAAGGAACCCCAAGAUCAGCUGCAAGUUGCUGGCCACUCCUAAAAGAGCUGAAGGCCUCCACGAACUCAGGAACCGAGAUAUAUCUGUAGGGCUGGCUUUUUUUUAACCAAUAUUGUUCUUGGUCCUUCUUGGAUGUCACCUCUUGCAAAAAAUCGGCAACUCCUUUCCUCUCUGGGCACUUGAAUCCCACGUGUUCGAAGAACUCGAGGACACUCUCGCAUGGACCUUGGUACACAAUCUGUCCUUCCGAAAGCAGGAUUAGGUCAUCGAAGAGCUCAAAUGUCUCCGGCGCGGGCUGCAGAAGAGAGAUGACCAUGGUUACAUCCAUUAUGUGAACCAAUUGCCGUGUGUAUCUGCAUAUCUGAAAAGUUGUGGAACUGUCUAACCCUGUUGAUAUUUCAUCCAUCAGAAGAACCUUUGCUGGUCCUACCAACAUCUCCCCUGCACAUUGUUCAAGCAAUUAGUCCCUAAACCAUAAUUAUAAGAAGAUUUGAUUAACAAAAUUAACAACAUGGUGUGAAAAAAUAUACCGGUGGUCACGCGCUUCUUCUGGCCACCGGAAAUACCCCUUCUCAUAUCAUUACCAACCAUGAUAUCAGCACAGAUAUCCAAUCCAAGUAUCUGUCAAAAUUUCUAUACUAAUUAGUCAGAUUUUCCAAGAAUCAUAAUCCAAAAGAGAAUUAAGGGACAUAAAUAAACAGGAGCACACGGAAAAUGUUUGUCUUAAAAAAUGAAGGCAAUUACGAACCUUGAGAACAUAAUCUGUGACCAAACUAGUCUUCUGGCCUGAGACUGAGGUGGCCUUCAUGAAUGCAUCAAUCUCGGGGUCAGGCUUGAUUCCGGCUUCUUUCUCUCUUCUUGAGAGUUCAGCCAGCAUUUGGUAUCUAGUUCCGACACCCAAACAUCGUGCUGAGAAAUCCAACGUCUCUCUCACUGUCAUUUCUCCAUAGUGAAGAUCAUGCUGACUAAUGUAAGCACAUGUUCUUUUUGGAACAAACUCAUUCAGUUCAUGGCCACAAUAUGUGAUUUUCCCAGAAACCUGAUCACCAUAUUCUAAGUAAUCAAUAACAAAGCCUAAUUAUGCAAACCAAUUAAACUGUUUAGAGAGAGAGAGAGAGAGAGAGAGAGAGAGAGAGAGAGAGAGAGAGGAGAAAGAAUCUCACUCUUAGAUCAUCAUCAAGCUUUCCUGCAAGUGCUAGUAACAAGGUUGUUUUGCCUGCACCUGGAGGACCCAAAAGUAGGGUCAUCCUGGAAAAUUAUCAUAUCAGUUAACUGUCGAGAGCAUUCACCCAUGCACUCGAGGUCCGGAGUUCGACCUCCCAUCCCCAAAACAUAACUAUACAGUUGAUGAAAUGAAAGGACAAAUAGAAUUACUUACCUAUAUAGAAAACAAGAGAUUACCCAAAAAACUGAAAUAUAUAUUUUUUUUGUUUCUGAAAUCUGCAAAUCAACCACCAAUUCCUUACAGUAAUUGGAAAAGAAAAGGACUUGUAAUCUCAUACCUGGAAGGUCUGACAAUUCCACUAACGUCUUUAAGUAUCUGGAUCUUUCUCUUUUUUGAUGGAGCAAGCUUAAUUAAUCCCAGAACACUCUGCAUCCCACAAACAAACAUCUUGAAAAAUCAUUAAAAAUGACAGAAAAUUACAAAUUGAAGGAAAAAAAAAGUUCCUUCACAUAAACUAAUCUUAAAAAAAUGGAAAAUCUGAAGAAAUCAAACCUCAAUAGUGUUUAAGGUAGCACUGAGCAGAGUAGGCAGUGCUCUGCUCCCAACAUACACAUCUCCUUCAAUCGACAAAUUCUCGUAUCGAACUUCAAUCUUCGGAAUUUCAAUCCCCACUCUACAAAAUUCACAGAAGUAACAAAAACCCAAAUAAAAAACAUAAAAAAGAUCAUUAAAAAGGCAAAAGAUUAUCAUUCCUUGAAGGGAAAAAAAACACUUGGGUUUUGAAGACAAGGUUUCGUAGAGUUGAGUAGGGCAGUGUGACCAGCCCAUGCACCCGAGUUUGAAUCCCGUCUGCAGAUUAGAGUAGUUCAAAAUAUCGUUUUUCCAAAAAGAAAAGAAAGAAAGAGUCUCAAACCUAUCGGUUCUGUCUCUAAGUCUUCUCAAGAACUUUUCGUUAUCAUCUUCCACAACCUUGAGUAUACUCUCCAUCAACUGCUUCUUGUCCUGCAUUCCCAGCCUCGUCACGUCCACCUCAUCAGUCACCACCUUCCCGUUAUCCAGCACCUGCCUCAGCAUCCCUCUUUUCAACCUGUCAUACGUCGGCAGCCGUUGGAUUGCCGCCCACCGCAGCUCCUCCUCGUCGUCCUGCCGCCUGCUUCUGUUGAACACAUCCGGUGGUGCCUGCCACACUUCCCGGAAACUCGUGGAUGCCCAACUCCGCUCGCUCCCCGACCCCCAGCUCCUCUGGCUUGUCGACCGAGCCAUAUCGUCCUCCGCCAAAGCCGCCGCCAUUUGAUCUAAAUUCAGCACAGCUUUUGCUUCUGCAUUUAUCGAGUAUUGGCCACCUUUGUUAGGAAAACCGUGUCAAAGGUAGCAUGUGUGACACAGUACGACAAUAUGUUAUCCUCCAAGAUGUCACACAGAAAUUGACUAUGCUACAGCGUUCUGCACUCCCUCUAAAACCCUUAAUUUGAAAGCAUAAAACAUAACUGGUAUGCACAUAGAUGGGUGUGGAUGCAAAUUUCUUUUCCCUUGUUUUUGUAUAAAAUUGCACAUACAAAACAAUUAAUAUUUUAGGGUCAAGGCCAAGAGCUUCACGCGCCCACGAUGAAUGAGGGACUUUGGCCGAACAACAUCUGAUGUCAAAGUUAAAAUUUAGAGAGAAAAAUGUUUAGAGAGUUUUUGAAAUUUUACAAGAGUGAACCUCCCUUUUUGGAGAAAAUGGGGUAGCUUAUCUAGAGUAUGGCCAGUCCCCUUUGGAGAAAAGGUGGCCGGUCUUUGGGAUGUUUUUGGGUGUUAUUUGGUGAUUUAAUUAGCAAUUAAUAUAUUAAUUAGGAAUAAAUAUAUUAAUUGGCUAAUUAACAUAAUAAAAGGAAUGUUUUUGGGAGGUUAUGGAAUGAAUAAAAUAAUAGCUAAUUGAUUAACUAAAAAAAAGGUAAAAUAUAUGGAAUGAAAUAAAUUUUGGGAGUUACCUUGUAGAAGGGAUUUGAUGAGAUAUGUUUUGAAUUGUUACCUAUUUUGGGCACUUUUGAUUUAGUUGAAGGAUGAUUGCCCGCUGCUUGCGCGUAGGAAUCCCGUUGUACCUCAAGGGUAUUUUUGUUCUCUUUUGUGAUUAUUUUUGGCUCACACAAAGGGUAUCAUAAACCUGAGAAUCCUCUGCAACUGUACUCGUAGCUCCCAAUUGCUGCGUCAAAGACGAAGAGCCAUCACUCUGGCUGUCCAGAACAAGAAUUUUUUUCGAUGCAGCAACUGGUAAAGACGGCAAAUCAGAAACAUACGAAGACUUUCCAGCAAAGAUCUUCCCUACAACAAGCAUCAAUUUAGCUUAACACACACACAACAAACACAUCAAAUAACAAGUACGCAAUCAUGAUAAAAGAAAUCAUUUUUAAGCUCACACAUUCAUCUCUUAAGCACGAAACCGACUAAAACAAUGACCUUUUUACAAAAUUCCAUUUCUUUUCAACAAAAAAUAAAUUCAAAAUUGCUACCAGCCAUAGCAAGCACAACAUUGCGUCCAUAUAAUUCGCAUCGAAAUCGAUAUAGUAUUCUUCCUCUUCAAAAGCAUAAGUCUCCAUUACCGUUCCAAGCUUCCAAGAAAGCUCACGGCAUAUCUACGUAAACUCCAUUUCUAAGACACUGACCACUAAAUAACAAUCUACUCAUAACUUCAAAUUUAGUAAAACUAAAAACAAUAUAAUAAUACGAAUUAUAUACCAAAAAAAUUAAUUAAUUACGGAAAAACAAACAGAAAAUCGAAGCAGCCAAUUGAAACAGAGAAAUCGAACUCGAACAUCAAUUUUUCGAAACGAAAGCGAAAAACGAACAAAAAUAAUAAAAUAAUUAGGGGGUGUAUGUUGGAGAAGGAUGAGGAACGAAAGGUUGUUUGUGGAUGCAAAUUUUUUUCUCCUUGAUCUUAGACAAAAUUGUACCUACAAAACAAAUAACACCUUAGGUCAAGGCUAAGAGUCUCCCGCGCCCACUAUGAAUGGGGGGCUUUGGCCGAAGAACCUCCGAUGUCAAAGUUAGAAUUUAAAGAGAAAAGUGUUUGAGAGUUUUGGAGAAUUUUAGCAAGAGUCAAGACCUCUCUUUUUGGAGAAAAUGGGGUAGCUUAUAUAGAGUAUGGCCGGUCCCCUUUGGAGAAAAGGUGGCCGGCCUUUGGAUGUUUUUGGAUGUUAUUUGGUGAUUUAAUUAGCAAUUAAUAUAUUGAUUAGAAAUAAAUAUAUUAAUUGGCUAAUUAAAAUAAUAAAAUGAAUGUUUUUGGGAGGUUAUGGAAUGAAUAAAAUAAAUAGCUAAUUGAUUAGUUAAAAAAGGGAAAAUGAGGUAAAAUAUAUGGAAUUAAAUAGGUUUUGGGAGUUACCUUGUAGAAGGGAUUUGAUGAGAUAGGUUUUGAAUUGUUACCUAGUUUGGGCAUUUUUGAUUUAGUUGAAAGAUGAUUGCCCGCUGCUCGCGCGUAGGAAUCCCAUUGUACCUCAAGGGUAUUUUUGUCCUCUUUUGUCCAAAGAUCCACGUGUCGUCUUGUGAUUAUUUUUGGCUCCACAAAUGCCCCCACACCUGUUGGACUGCUCGCAGAAAAGGGCAACAGGGGUAGAGAUUUUCUUGCAUUAGGAAACUUUGAAUUAUUUCCUAUUUUGAUGCUGAUUCUCUAUUUUAAUAGGAAAUUAGAUCAUUCUAGGAAAAUGAAAUAAAUUUCUCUCAAAACCUACUUAAGUCCACCUUAAGUGGAUUAUUUUUUUCUCCUUGAUCUUGGACAAAAUUGCACCUACAAAACAAAUAACACCUUAGGUCAAGGCUAAGAGCCUCACGCGCCCACAAUGAAUGGGGGCUUUGGCCGAAGAACCUCCGAUGCCAAAGUUAGAAUUUAGAGAGAAAAGUGUUUGAGAGUUUUGGAGAAUUUUAGCAAGAGUCAAGACCUCUCUUUUUGGAGAAAAUGGGGUAGCUUAUAUAGAGUAUGGCCGGUCCCCUUUGCAGAAAAGGUGGCCGGCCUUUGGAUGUUUUUGGAUGUUAUUUGGUGAUUUAAUUAGCAAUUAAUAUAUUGAUUAGGAAUAAAUAUAUUAAUUGGCUAAUUAACAUAAUAAAAGGAAUGUUUUUGGGAGGUUAUGGAAUGAAUAAAAUAAAUAGCUAAUUGAUUAGCUAAAAAAGGGAAAAUAAGGUAAAAUAUAUGGAAUGAAAUAGGUUUUGGGAGUUACCUUGUAGAAGGGAUUUGAUGAGAUAAGUUUUGAAUUGUUACCUAUUUUGGGCAUUUUUGAUUUAGUUGAAGGAUGAUUGCCCGCUGCUCGCGCGUAGGAAUCCCAUUGUACCUCAAGGGUAUUUUUGUCCUCUUUUGUCCAAAGAUCCACGUGUCGCCUUGUGAUUAUUUUUGGCUCCACAAAUGCCCCCACACAUGUUGGACUGCUCGCAGAAAAGGGCAACAGGGGUAGAGAUUUUCUUGCAUUAGGAAACUUUGAAUUAUUUCCUAUUUUGAUGCUGCUCUUUUAAUAGGAAAUUAGAUCAUUCUAGGAAAAUGAAAUAAAUUUCUCUCAAAUCCUACUUAGUCCACCUUAAGUGGAUUAUUAAAUCAACUUUGGAGAGCAAUUUAUUCUACCUUACAAGAGAGAGAGAGAGCUUAGAGGAUAUUUGUUCCCCAUCCUCUAGCAAUCUUCCACAUCUUGCUCGUGCAAAGGAUCGUCUUUCGUUGCUUGCUUCGUCUUUUUGUUGCUUCUAGGUAAGAAAAAAAAUUACUUUUCUUGUCUUCUUGAUUUUUUUUAUGCCUCGGGGUUUGAAAUUGUCUCGACAAGGGUCGAGGAGAUUUGAAAAAUGACCUAGGGAGGCUGCGGCACUGUUGCGGUGGGUAGUGCUGUAGUCUGGGCCUUUGUGCUUGGGCUGUGAGGAAGAAAAAUGUGUGGGUGCACCUGCCCCUUGUCAGCUGAGCUGGGCCGCAAGGUCCUUGGACCGAGAAGAAUGAUGGAGGAGUCAGCGCGGGAUGGGCUCUCUGCUUUGCCAUUUUUAUUUUUUAUUUUUAAAGAAGGCUGGGCUCGGGCCCAUGCCUGAGGAAAAAUGAAGGUGAGGCCGAGUGCCUAUUUUGGGCUGAGAAGCCUAUUGAGCUUUUUUUUUUAACAACCCUCUAAUGACUCUUCCUUGUACUUUUUGUAGAAUUCCUUCAAGUAUGUCUUCCUCGAGCCACAAGAAUGAUGAUGGUGUGCCGCCAUUGUAUCGUCAAGGUGGAUCUUUGAGUAAGGUUGGCUAUUUCAAAGCUACUCACUUCAAUAUUAGCUCUGAUGAUUUGUUUAGAGACUUUCUUAAGGCGUAUUGGUAUGCCAUUCCGUCGGGAGUACGUGUGAAGCGAGUUAAGGAUGGCAGCAGUUGGGAACCAUGUAGCGGAACUCGGAGAACCAUCAAGUUCCACCCCUACUAUUUUGUGUUAGGGUUUACUUUUCCUAUGUCGUGUUUCUUCCAAGAAAUGCUCUGCUCCAUGAGAUGUGCCCCCGCCCAAUGUUCUCUGAAUGCGGUCCAUGUGAUGGUGGGAUUCCACAAUCUAAGCCAAUUCUUUGACUUAGAUCUAAUCGUCAACAAAUUUUGGUACUUCUUUGACAUAGGUCACAUUAAUGGAGUUGGGCAGCUACGAUAUCGCCAUAGGCUUUUUGAUAAUUCGAGCAAGGGAGAUCAUGACUGGGCCAAGAGACUUUGGAGAUAAGUGGAGAAUGAGAGUCUGAUUCUUCCCUCGAGCUGCAUGUACCAAUGGUCUUCAUAUCUGGUAACCAGGCUGCUUAAUCUUUUCGGCUGCUUUGCUUUAGUGCCAAGCUACUUUUCAAUUUUCUGAUUUUCUUCCGCUGCUUUUGUAGAUUCGGAAUUCGGCUCCACUCCUAAGGCUUCUCCAAACAUGAAAAAAGUGCAUGUUGUUCUGGGUAUCCCUUCUGAGUACCAUGAAUGGCGUUGGUUGCUUAGUCCUAUUCGUAGGGAAAAAAAUGGGUUACCCCCGAGAGAGGAGAUAAAGUGAAUCAAGGUUGAGGCGUUGACUUAUCUUAUCAUUGUGGUGGAGCCUGUUACAAAUAAAGGUGGGAAAAAUAGACCUUUCUCGCCUGCCCAGGAGACGCAUGCUGAGAAGAAAAUAAAGACUUCUUCCACUGCUCGUGAAGGUUCACCGGCUGCUUCCAAGCUUGUGAUUAACUUGACUUCCUCUAAGGGUGAGAAAGAAAAAACUGCUAGAUUUGUGCCAGUAACGCCUAUUGCUCCGAAGGCUGCUAGCUCGAUUGCUAAAAGGAUUGCCCAGCGCAGAAGUUCAUCCAUGCCUCCGGUGCCAAAGUUUGUGCCAAAAUGUUCGUUUGGAGCUAAGUCUGGCUCACUUUUGGAGAGGCUUGCUACUAUGAAGAGUGACAAGGUGCCUCUGCUUACUAAAAUGGCGCCAAAACCUAUUUCCUACAUUGCUGCGACCAACUCAUCUGCUGAUAAGAAGGAAACUGCUCGUGCAUGCAGGCUUGAAGAAUCUAGCAAGACUGUUUCUGGGGAAGUUGCUGAGAUUUGCACGUUUUUGAAGCCAAAUCUACUUGAAGAUAUGGAUAUAUGUGCCAAGUUUGUUGAUGGUGUCAAGGAGAUUAUUGGUCCGAGUUUUUUCGUGAAGCACACAUCCGAGUAUAGGAAGACUGUUUUGCUAGCCAUGAUGCAGAAAAUAACAAUUUUGGCAGCUAAAGAAAUUGGAAUCUGAGUUUGCUGCUUUGAAGGGAUCUAACAUUUCUACCCCCACUUCUCUGCAGCAUAAGACCGCUCGCCAAGAGAUCAUGGAUUUGAAGACUAGGCUUGAUGCGAUCCAAGUAAAGUAUGAAAGUGUAGAGAAGGAAAUCGAGUGUUACAUAUCUUAGAUUCAAGAUCUUGAGCGUUCCAUCUAUGAAUUCCGCUCCGCUGCUUAUGCAAAUGAUGAAGAACUGAUCGCUGCUUACAACCAAGUGAUUCACUUCAAAAAGGUUGUUGAUAGGCUUGAGCUUCAAGUGUUGGAACUUCAAAGUGCUUUGAAGAUCAACGACAAUCUGAAGAAGGAAGUUGAGGAGUUGCAGCAGGUUUGUGCUUGCCUCUUUGAGGAUAAUGAGCAGUUGAAGGGUGAGAAGGCUGGGUCCGAGGCUUCGCUUACUUAGAGUCAAGCUGAUUUCUACAAGCUGGGUUAAGUAGAUCAUUUCUAUGGGCGACCGUCUGACUUUGAGUUUUCUAGUAAAGACUUCGAGACCUUCUUUAUUUCUCUAAAAGACUUGCUCGCCUUUACUUUUGAGUAUUCUAUUGGUGAAGUAGUUGGAGAAGUUGGUGCCCAGUCUGGGGUAGUCGAGGGCAAAGCGCCGGAUGAUGCCGCUACUGAGAACAUCAAGGCUGCUGAAGGUGUGGCGACCGAGUAGUCGUGAGAUGUCAAAACUAUUGAAGAGUAGUCUUCUAGGUAGUCUUUAGGAUUUUCUUUGUUUUCCUUUGUUGUUUUUGCUUGAACUCAUUCGGUAUUUGCUAGUUGUUUAUUAAUUUUGCUAGAAAAUUUAAUAAACUUGCUUUCUUCACUUUUUUCUAUCUUCCCUUCUUUUUGUCCAUGCCUUAACCUUUAGACCUUAUAGACCAGUGGCAGGAGUGCUACUUUUCUAUAAGCAGACAGGCCUGCGUAGCCUACGCAGCAGUAAAUGUUGGUGUAGAACUUUUGUAGAGUUGUUAGCCAUAGGGUUGGUAGCCGGAUGCCUUACUUACAGAAGCAAACGAAUCCCGUAACCAUUAGGCUGUUAACCUUUGCUUUUUCCAAUUCCGUAGGUUGGGUAGCAAGUAUCACAACACUUUAGGACUUGGUGUAGGUUGUUUUGUGCUUGGCAGAAGUGAAACUUAUCGACUAUGUAGCAUGUCGGCAAUGGAUAAAGCUUCGUAUAUGCAAACUAGCUUGUUUAACCUCUUUCACAAGAAUGUGCAGUUGUAUAAGUCUAGCGUGGUUUUACUGCUCAAAGGGCAAGCCGUAGUUAGUCUUCCAGAAACCGUAGGUUACCUUAGUGCACUCGGUAGCAGCUUUAGGUUUCCAGGGUAGCCACCUGUAGGGUGUACUGCGUAAUGUGCCCCAUUCGUCUCUAGGGCCUGAUUCCUCGCAAAUUAAGCCAAAAGACCCAAAAUCCUUCAAUUAGCUAAGCCUUGAAAAAAACCAUUGUGGCUACUUCUAGGAAUCCCGCCUCAAGCCAUCGUGCAUCUAGUUAUAAUAGGGCAACCAGGCUCAUCCAUAUUUGGAUAUUCGAAGUGUUGAGUUUAUCCUCCCGCUUUGGAGAGCAUGGUUGGUCCCUCAGGGGGUGCAAUUCCUGCGGUGAGUACCAAAAAAAGGUGCGAUCUUCUUUUGAAGUGCAUGAGAGAUAAGUUGUUGUAGACAUGUAGUCGAGCCAAGUUGCAAAUUACUUCUGAAUUCUUCAUUGAAAAAUGAACGAUAACUUAGUUGUAAAAGACUGCAUGACAAAUGGAUAGUCAUCGACUUACGAAGUGGUGCCCGUUGAGUUGCUUGAGUCUUCGGGUCUUGACAUAGUGGGAAGUUACACAUGGUAUUUCCUUAAAUUGUAGGUGUUCUAUUGCUUCUCUAUCUCUUUGUCAUUCAUGGUGGCGAGGGUGUAGUUACCUUUGCUGCCUACUCUGCUGAUCUUGUACGGACCUUCCUAGAUGGGAUCCAUCUUUUUCGAGCCUUCCUUGUGAGCAGUGAUGAAAGCCUUUCUUAGGACUAGAUCUCCGGGUUGGAACUGCCGGAUCUUGGCUCUUUUAUUGUAGCUGAAAAUGAGCUGCUGCUGGUAGGCUACGAUGCGGAUGAUGGUUUGCUCACGUCUUUCCUCUGCCAGAUCUAAGUUUGUGGCCAUCUCUUUGUUAUUCUGCUCAAUGCUUGGCAAUAGAGUGUUGAUGCUUGGCAUGAUAAUGUUAGGAUGAAUGAUUGCUUCUAAACUAAAUGCCAAAGAAAAAUAAGUCUCACCGGUUGCUUUUCUUUUGGUGAUGCGAUAUGCCCAUAAACAUCCGGGGAGUUCAUCUGGCCAUUUUCCCUUUUUGUCGGUGAGGGAUUUCUUGAGGCAGUUGAGGAUCAUCUUGUUGGAUGCUUUGGCCUGCCCAUAGCCUUGAGGAUAUCUUGGCAUGGACAUGUGUUGCUUAAUGCCGUACUUUUGGAAGAACUUCGCCAAUUUUUUUCCCACAAAUUAUGGGCCGUUGUCAGUGACGAUGGACUGAGGGAUGCCAAAUCGAUAAAUGAUGUUCCUCCAUAUGAAGCGCUUUAUGUCCGUCUGAGUCGUGGUCGUCAUGGGCUCUGUUUCUACCCAUUUGGUGAAGUAAUCGGUUGCCACGAUCAUCAUGCACCUAUCCCCAGUAGCAGGUGGCAUAGGCCUUACCAGGUCGCCCACCGCAUGCAUGGCCAAGGACUCGUUUGCGGGUGUAGCUCGCUAACAGGCAGUGCUAGUACCUAUUUGUAGCGAUGGCAACGAUCGCACUUUCGUACUAACUCCUUAGCAUCUUGGUGCAUGGUAGGCCAGCAGUAGCCUGCAUUAAGAGCCUUCUGUGCUAAGGAUCGGCUUCCGGAGUGAUUCCCACAAGCUCCUUCGUGGAUUGAGCUUAGAACCUUCAAGUCAUCGGGAGGUGCUAAGCAUCACAGAUGUGGUCCGGUGUAGGAUCUUCGGAUAAGGAUGCCAUUCCACAUAUAGUAGUGUGCCGCUUUGAUUUAGAGCUUCAUUAACUCCAAUCUUUCGGUGGGUAGUGUAUCGUUGACCAAGUAAUCUAUAAUAAAACUUUGCCAGUUGGGAGUUACACUAACCUGUGACACUUCGGCUGUCGACUCCAUCUCUAUGCUUGGUUUGUCUAGAUAUUCCAUCAGAAUGGAGUGUUUAAAUUGGUGGUCAAAAGCAGAGCCUAAACCGGCUAGCGCAUCUGGAUGGGCGUUAUCUGCCGCGGAACUUAAGUGAGAGUGUAAGUCUGAAAUGCCUCAAGUUGCUGGGGUACUUUCUCUAGGUAUUACACCCUCUUUGGAUGUUUUACCGUAUAUUCCCCAGUAGCCUGAUUGGUGAUUAGUUAGGAAUCAGAAUGAAUUACGAGCUUCUUCACCGCCAAGUCUUUUGCCAUUCAGAGGCCUGCCAAUAGGGUCUCGUAUUCUGCUUCGUUAUUGGAUGCUUUGAAGCCUAAAGUGAUCACCUGCUCGAGCAUUGAGCCGUCUGGGGUAACAAAGACCACGCCUGCUCCUGAGCCUUUGUAGUUGGAUGCGCCGUCAAUAUGCAAAUGCCAGAAAUUUUUGCUUGAGGGUGCAAGCAUGGCUAAUGUAUGUUUGGUUGCUUCUGGUAUGAGGGCAGAGCUCACUUCUACUCCGGAGACUACCUGGUAAAUGUAUAAAUCAUCUGCUGCUUUCGGCUUGGAUAGUAAGGGAGGUGAUGUGAGAUACUUCUUCAAGUAUUGAAAAGCUUUUUCGCACUCUUCAUCCCAUUUGUCUCGUUAUGCCCUCUUGAUAGCUUUGAAAAAGGCUUGCAUUGAUCGGUGGACCGCGAGAGGAAGCGGUUGAGAGCAGCUGCUCGUCCGGUCAAACUUUGGAUCUCCUUCAAGGUAAUUGGAGACUUCAUCUCUAGGAUCGCUCGGAUUUGCUUGGGAUGUGCUUCAAUUCCUCGUUGGGUUACUAAGUACCCUAAGAAUCGGCUUGAAGAUACUCCAAACGUGCAUUUGGUAGGGUUGAGCUUUAUCUUAUACUUUCUAAGGAUAUUGAAAGUUUCUGCCAAGUUGUGAAUGUGGUCUGACCGCUGCUUGCCCUUUACCAUUAUAUCGUCAACAUAGACCUCAAUGGUUAUCCCAAUUUGCUUCUUGAACAUCAUAUUUACUAGCCUUUGGUAAGUGGCUCAUGCGUUCUUGAAGCCAAAGGGCAUGAACUUGUAACAGUAGGUGCCCCGCUUUAUCACGAAUGCAGUUUUCUCCUUGUCGGGCUCAUACAUGGCUAUUUGGUUGUAGCCGGAGUAUGCGUCUAAGAAGCUAAGCAGCUGGUUCCCAGAAGUUGAAUCUACUAGUAGAUCGAUCUGAGGGACAUGAUAAUGAUCUUUUAGGCAUGCUUUGUUAAGGUCGGUGUAGUCUACGCAAACCCUCCAUUUUCCCUUAUCUUUCUUCAUGACUAGUACGACAUUGGCAAGCCAUGCUAAGUGUGCUUCAUUUUCUAUGAAUCAUGCCUCUAAUAGCUUGUUAAUUUAUGCCUUGAUUAUCGCUACUCGCUCGGGUGUGAAAUGUCUUCUCUUUAGGAUCAUCGGUUUGGCAGCAGGGUCCAUGUGCAGCUUGUGGCAGGCCACCUCGGGGUCAAUAUCGGGCAUGUCGGAUGGUAACCAUGUGAAGACGUCUCGGUUUUCUCUAAAGAAAGUCAUGAGUUCUUCCUUCUCGGCUAGGCUUAGACAUGAGCCAAUUCUAGCCAUCUUUUUCGGCUGUUGGGGAUCAAGAAUAAUGUCUUCGGCGUCCUCUUCAGGUUUCCAUCAUAUCUCGUCUGCUUGGGUGCCAUCUUUUUGAUCCACCUGCUGUAAUUGCUAUUGGGUAACCUCUUUGUCCUUUUGGACUUUGGUAGCCUCUACGGGGGUAAAAAUCUUCUUUGAUUCUUUCAACAUUUGCACAGUGCAUCGUCGUAAUGAGGCAUGGUCAGACUUGAUCUCUUCGAAUCCUCCUCCUGGGAUGCGGAAUCAGAUUUUUUGAUACUUGACGGAAGUGACGGCAUCCAGCUUAAUCAACCAAGGUCUCCUAAGAAUCCUAUUGUAGGGAGAUGGAUCGCUUACGAUCGUGAACGUUUACUUUGAGACGACUGCGGUGUUUUCACAUCAAGUGUGAUGUGGCCGAUGGUAGUUGAGGUGUGUCCGUUGAAUCCGGUAAGCACCUCUACUUGGCCCUAUGAUUGUGCUUUCCAGGCCCAUAUUCUGAAUGACUGAGAGUUGAAGUAUGUUGACUGCACUUCCAUUGUCAACCAUCGUCUUGUCGACUAUAGCAUGGGCUAGUUGCAUAGAUACUACCAGUGCAUCGUCGUGUGGGAAAUCAACACAUUCUGCAUCCUACUCAGUAAAGCCAAUAAUGGGUCCAGGUUGGGUAUCGGCUGCUUGGACUUGUGAGAUUAGUAAAGCCUGCUGGAUCUUCCUCUUUUUGGAGUUAGCAGUGGCCCCCAAGUGCUCGGAUUCGGGGAAAAUACCAUUUAUUCGAAUCAUCUUGGUUGGUGGUUCCUCAUCAUCGUCUACAUUCAUUCUUAGAUGUGCAGCUGGCUUGUCCAAGUAUCUAUCGACUUUGCCUUCUUUCACGAGCUUCUCUAGGUAGUUCUUCCAAGUGUAGUAGUCGUCGGUUAUGUGACCAGGACCUCAGUGCAAUGCGCAAUACUUAGUAUGGUCUAACUUGGAAGUAUCUUAUUUUGAUUGUUUCGGCAGUUUGAACCACGACUAGUUCUUGAUAUCACGAAGGAUUUGAUGGAUCGGAAUUGAGGCCUUCUUUAGUUGUGGGUCGGUCCCUACGCUUGGCCUCCUGCUUGCCCUUGCUAGGCUGCUUCCCGUCCUCCUUCCUUUGAGCGACUGCCGACUCUUUUCGAGGCUGCUUAGGCGCUUUUUCUGCUCGUCAAGCCUCGUCCCAAAGCGCAUGAUUAUCUGCCAGGUCAAAGUAAUCUGCUAAAGUUAGGUCUUCUUUCAUGAUUAUUUCUUCGAACAGUGGGUGGUCUGCUGGGAGUCCUUUUUGAAAGGCUGCACUUGCUAUCGAGUCAUCGCAUCCGACAAUCUUCACCUUCUCUGCUUUGAACCUCUUCAAGUAGUCGCAGAGUGACUCCUUUGGGUUUUUCUUUACGUUGAACAAGUGAUCGGACUUUUUCUUGAUCGAGCGGUAAGAUGAGUAUUCUUUGGUGAAAACCAAGGAAAUAUCAUUAAAAUUUUAGAUGGAUCGUAGUGGCAAGGUGUGAAACCAAUCUUGUGCCUCACCUUGUAGAGUGGUGGUGAAUAUUUUGCACAUAAGAGCGUCAUUGCUCUGAUAAAAGACCAUCGCGCUUCGGCAGUGCUUAAGUGCCUCUAUGGAUCUCCAUUUUUUUGAAAGAUGUGAAGUGCGACAUGCUAAACUUGCGUGGAGGCUCUGCUUGCUCGAUCUUGUCCGUGAAAGGCGACUUGUUUAUGUUGGUCAUAUCCCACCUUAAUGUUUCAUCAACCAUUUCGUUAAGUCAGAAAUCACGCAACCGUUCAUUGAAAAGUCUUUCUACCUCUUCUUGCGGAGCUCUCGGCUGCCCCUAGUCUUGACAUGCUGGCCUAGGCAGCUCUUUUAUACGCUCGGCUCGUCUAUAUCUCGACUGCGGUACAUGAGAUAGAUUAUUAGCAGGCAAAGGGUUUCUUCGUAAGUUGUUGGUUGAACUUGAACCGCAUUGAGUGACUCUUUCUCUCCGUUUGUCAUGCUGCCUGCUCCGAUAUGAUAUGGAUAAUGCUCCUUGUAGGCCUAACCGCGAAUGAACGUUUUGCCUAGAAGGCUGCUCAUGUUGAUUAUCGGAGCAUGGUCCCAACCGUGAAUGUAUACUUAUCCAUGGCCCUAGUAGAGAGUGCACACUCAUCCACGCGCUAAGACGGGAGUAUACCUUGUCUCGGGGGCCCAAUUGAGAAUGUACACUGCCUAAAUGCUCGAUUUACGGUUGGUUGAGUGGCUGUUUGCCAGGACGCUGCUUGAGAGGUUUUUAGUCUGCCCUUGUCCUACUUCGGGACACUUCAUCUGGGGCACGUUCGAUCUCGGUGUGUUGCAAAAGUUGAUUUACCAAGGUCGUCUGUUAUGCAAGGGCGCUCGUUAAUUAUAUGACUUUUCGGGAAAAGUUUGUUCACCAUUUGAAUUGGAAGAGCUUGGAUAAAAUGUGCCUCCUUGAGCAAUGGGAUGAUGGUAGGUCCCGUGCACGAGAUUUGACUUGGAAAAUGUCAAAUUCGUGUAAAAAUGUGGUGAAAAUGCCCCCAGCUAGACGAUUGGUCAAUAUGGUCUCAUGCCGACUUGGGCUGAGUGACUCAUUUGGGUUUUUCUUUACGUUGAACAAGUGAUCGGACUUUUUCUUGAUCGAGCGGUAAAAUGAGUAUUCUUUGGUGAAAACCAAGGAAAUAUCAUCAAAAUUUUGGAUGGAUUGUAAUGGCAAGGUGUGAAACCAAUCUUGUGCCUCACCUUGUAGAGUGGUGGUGAAUAUUUUACACAUAAGAGCGUCAUUGCUCCGAUAAAGGACCGUCUCGCUUCGGUAGUGCUUAAGUGCCUCUAUGGAUCUCCAUUUUUUUUAAAGAUGUGAAGUGCGGCAUGCUAAACUUGCAUGGAGGCUCUGCUUGCUCGAUCUCGUCCGUGAAAGGCGACUUGCUUAUGUUGGUCAUAUCCCACCUUAGUGUUUCAUCAACCAUUUCGUUGAGUCAGAAAUCACGCAACCGUUCAUUGAAAAUUCUUUCUACCUCUUUUUGGAUUGGCCUUUAUUGGGGGGUAGUGGAGCUCUCGGCUGCCUCUGGUCUUGACAUGCUGGCCUAGGCAGCUCUUUUACACGCUUGGCUCGUCUAUGUCUUGACUGCGGUACAUGAGAUAGAUUAUUAGCAGGCAAGGGGUUUCUUCGUAAGUUGUUGGUUGAACUUGAACCGCAUUGAGUGACUCUUUCUCUCCGUUCGUCAUGCUGCCUGCUCCGAUGUGAUGUGGAUAAUGCUCAUUGCAGGCCUAACCGCGAAUGAACGUUUUGCCUAGAAGGCUGCUCAUGUUGAUUAUCGGAGCAUGGUCCCAACCGUGAAUGUAUACUUAUCCAUGGGCCUAAUCGAGAGUGCACACUCAUCCACGCGCUAAGACGAGAGUAUACCUUGUCUCGGGGGCCCAAUCGAGAAUGUACACUGCCCGAAUGCUCGAUUUGCGGUUGGUUGAGUGGCUGCUUGCCAAGACACUGCUUGAGAGGUUCUUCGUCUGCCCUUGUCCUACUUUGGGACACUUCAUCUAGGGCACGUUGGAUCUCGGUGUGUUGCAAAAGUUGAUUUACUAAGGUCGUCUGUUAUGCAAGGGCGCUCGUUAAUUCUAUGACUUUUCGGGAAAAGUUUUGUUCACCAUUUGAAUUGGAUGAGCUUAGAUAAAAUGUGUCUCCUUGAGCAGUGGGAGGAUGGUUGGCCCCGGGCACGAGAUUUGAGUUGGAAAAUGUCAAAUUCGUGUAGAAAUAUGGUGAAAAUGCCCCCAGCUAGAUGAUUGGUCAAUAUGGUCUCGGGCCGACUUGGGCUGCUUGGGAAGCCAAGAGAGUAAGCUGCUUGACGGGAGUAGGCUGCUUGGUGGGAGUAGGCUAGGCCAUGAGAGUGGGCUGCUUGGUGCGUGAUGCAUGUGAGAGUUAGGCUUGGGUCGUGGCCUUAGUGCCGUAAGCCGCCUUGGAUGGCACGGCUCGGGCCGUGGUGAAAGCACCAUGGACCUCACCACGGGUGGCUACCGAGGUAGCCACCGCGGUGGUUCCUGUGGUGGAAACUUAUGGUGGUGGUGCUGCUCCACUUAUUGUCACAUUUAGUCUCGUGGAUCGCCGUGGUCCCAUUCCUUGGUUAUUGGAAUUUCCACUUGUGGAUUUUCUAAAUUUCUAGCCAUUGUAUUCUUCUUUUACGUUUUAUCAAAAAAUCUUUACAAAUAAAAAAUUCUAAUAAUAAGAACAUACGAAAAAAUACAAGUGGACUAGAAAAUAGAGAAAAACCUUUUUAUGUGAGAGUCUUCUACGAGUGUGGAUUUCUCCUCUCAAUGAAAACACCAAUUUGUGGAUGCAAAUUUCUUCCUCCUUGAUCUUGGACAAAAUUGCACCUACAAAACAAAUAACACCUUAGGUCAAGGCCAAGAGCCUUACGCGCCCACGAUGAAUGAGGGGGGCUUUGGCCAAAGAACCUCCGAUGCCAAAGUUAGAAUUUAGAGAGAAAAGUGUUUGAGAGUUUUGGAGAAUUUUAACAAGAGUCAUGACCUCCCUUUUUGGAGAAAAUGGGGUAGCUUAUAUAGAGUAUGGCUGGUUCCCUUUGGAGAAAAGGUGGCCGGCCAUGGGGAUGUUUUUUGGGUGUUAUUUGGUGAUUUAAUUAGCAAUUAAUAUAUUGAUUAGGAAUAAAUAUAUUAAUUGGCUAAUUAACAUAAUAAAAGGAAUGUUUUUGGGAGGUUAUGGAAUGAAUAAAAUAAAUAGCUAAUUGAUUAGCUAAAAAAGGGAAAAUGAGGUAAAACAUAUGGAAUGAAAUAGGUUUUGGGAGUUACCUUGUAGAAGGGAUUUGAUGAGUUAGGUUUUGAAUUGUUACCUAUUUUGGGCACUUUUGAUUUAGUUGAAGGAUGAUUGCCCGCUGCUCGAGCGUAGGAAUCCCGUUGUACCUUAAGGGUAUUUUUUCCUCUUUUGUCCAAAGAUCCAUGUGUCGCCUUGUGAUUAUUUUUGGCUUCACACUGUUGGGGGGAGGAGGAUGAGGAACGAAAGGUUGUGGGGGGAGGAUGAGGAACGAAAGGCUGUUGGAGGGGUGGGUGAAGGGUAAAUACUUUCGUGAUUCUCUAUAGGGUAAAUUACAUAAUACCCCAUCAGGUUUGAGAUCUAUUACAACCUCAUGCAACAUCUGUAAAACAUUUUACUUUCAUACCUCACGUAUUAUUUUAUUUCAAAAUAAUACCUCCGUUACAUUUUCCAUCCAUUGAUUUGUUAAGCGCUGACGUGGCUGCCACAUUUGUGCGACGUGGCAAAAAAAUAUUUUUUUAAUUUUUUUUUAAAAACCUACAUCUUCUAAAUAAAAAUUAAAAAACAAAAAAAGGAAAAACCCAAAACAAAACCCGCAACCCCCAAACCUCAGACUCACCUCUCUAGGCUCCCUUUCCCAGCACCUCCAAAACCCAGCAACCAACCUUAUCCCCCCUCCCCCGCGGAAACCCAACAAACUCCCCCCCCCACGGCAGACCCACACCUGUAAAACAUUUUACUUUCAUACCUCACGUAUUAUUUUAUUUCAAAAUAAUACCUCCGUUACAUUUUCCAUCCAUUGAUUCGUUAAGCGUUGACGUGGCUGCCAUAUUUGUGCCAUGUGGCAAAUUUUUUUUUUUUUUUUAAUUUAAAAAAAAAAACCUAAAUCUUCUAAAUAAAAAUUAAAAAACAAAAAAAGGAAAAACCCAAAACAAAACCCGCAACCCCCAAACCUCAGACUCACCUCUCUAGGCCCCAUUUCCCAGCACCUCUAAAACCCAGCAACCAACCUUAUCCCCCCUUCCCCCACGGAAACCCAGCAAACUCCCCCCCCCCACGACAGACCCACACCCUCCCCACACGACCCACCUCACUCACCCACCCUCUUCCCUCCUCUACACACCCCGCUCUUUAAAUCCACACCCAUUCCUCCCAUUUUCACCUCACAAACCCGGCGAUGACGGCGUAGACUGGAUCUGAGUUUUUUUAUUCUUUUUUUUUCUGGGUUGCAGGUAGGGAGAAGAAGAUGAAGAUGGGGGAGAAGAGAGGGGAGGAUGAGGGGGAAGACGAACUAUGGGUUUUUUUUUUUUUUUUUUUGGGUUGCAGGGGAAAAAGAUGAAGAUGGAGGAAAAGAAAGGAGGAAGAGGGGGGAAGGACGUGCUUCUGCGUGGGUCGUGGGGAGAUAAGGUUUCUGGGUUUGGGGGUUUUUUAAAAACCACCAUGGUGAGGUAUGAAUCUGUGAGGGGGGCUUUCGAAUUGAUGGGAAAGGGGGAAAGGAAAAGGAUUGUUUGGAGGAUGGAAUCGGAAAUGUAUUUGGUUUUUUUUUUUUUUUUAAUUUUUAUUUAGAAGAUUUAGGUUUUUUUUUAGAUUAAAAUUUUAUUUUUUACCACAUGGCACACAUUUGGCAGCCACGUGGCACAAUGUGGCAGCCACAUCAAUGCUUAAUGGAUUAAUGGAUGGAAAAUGUAACGGAGGUAUUAUUUUGAAAUAAAAUAGGACGUGAGGUAUGAAAGUGAAAUAUUUUUAAAAUGUUGUAUGGGGUUGUAAUAAACCUUAAACCUGAGGGGGUAUUAUGUAAUUUACCCUUCUUUAUAACCAAAUCCAAUCAAAUAAAUCACCUUUCUAUAGUCAUAGAACCCAAAUAAAAAGUUCCUUUUUGUGAUGCUACUUUUAGGUGAAUAUUUUUGUUAUUUUCACCUAGGUUACAUUUUUAAUGGUAUCUAAUAAUUCAAUUCUUAGUUAAAUUGUCGUCGUAAAAUGCUGUAAUAGUCGUAAUAUAGUCAUAGUCUUUUGGCCCAUGCACACAGUAAGUUGGAUACAGUUAUCACCUUCGAUUUAGGGUUGAAGCCGAACCAACAGGAUCCUCUCCGGAUCCUUUUGGUUAGAAUCCUGGGGAUCCAUAAAUCAUGUUCGUUCAUCUUACAUCCUGCGGCCAUUUUUUGUUAGGUACUGUUUGUAUUUAAUUUUAAAUAAAAAUAUUUAAUCACCCGAUGUAUGAUAAGCCGACAUGAUUUAGGGAUUCCCAGGAUCCUCACAAAGAGGAUCCAUCGAGGAGCCGGAUUCAAAGAUGAAAGCUAUGGAAGGCGUCAAAUUGCGUAGGGAGUGACGAUGGUGGAGUUACCAUUAUCUUUUUUUGUAAUGAAGAAUCUUGUAUGUAUUCCUACUAUGGGUUUAGCGGGUAUAUGGCUCUCGGAUGUUUAGAGGAUGUGCAUCGACGACAUUAAUUAAACCUUGUAUUUUGUUAAUGUCUAAUAAUUUCCAGGAAUUAUCUUGGAGUUUGGUUUUAAUUUCUCUCUUUACGCGAGUUUGCUAGUUUGAUUGCUCACUGGAUAAGAGGUGUUUAAUUUUAAUUUUUGUUUGGGUAAAUAGCCAAAAUGAUCCCUGAGAUUUGCAUAACUCAUCACUUUGGUCCCUAACAUUUCAAAUCAAUAAAAGUGGUCCCUGAGAUUGUCCAUCAUCCUUCAUUUUGGUCAUUCCGUUAAAAACUCCAUUAAGUGUCUCGGAACUCUUGGCCAGAAGUUUGGGCAAUUUUCAAAGCUUCAUAACUCAAUCGUUUCUUAACCAAAUUCGACCGAUAAUAUAUCAAAAUGAAGAUAAGAAAGUUUAGAAAAUAUUUUACCUAUUUGGAAGCCCAAUGGUUACUGGUGAUGGCCGGAAAAUAGCCUCAAAGUUGACUGGUCCGAGGGAAAGCUGGAAAACUCGCCGGAAACUGGGUAAACUUUAAAUGUUCAUAACAUCUUCAAUACUAAACGAAAUCAAGUGAUUCAAAACUGAAAAUCAUACUUCUCGACGAUAUGAAGAGAAUGGUACCUCUUUCGAUGGCUAACUCGCCGUGGUUUGGCCAGAAAACAUUUCGAAAAUGGUCAUCGACCAAACCACUUUUGAGCUGUUUUCCGGCCAAACCACAUGAGUUAGCCAUCGAAAAAGGUAUCAUUCUCUUCGUCUCGUCGAGAAGUAUGAUUUUCGUUUUUGAAUCACUUGAUUUCAUUUAGUAUUGAAGAAGUUAUAAACGUUUAAAGUUUACCCAGUUUCCGACGAGUUUUCCAGUUUUUCCCUCGGACCAGUCAACUUUGAGGCUAUUUUCCGGCCAUCUCCGGCAACCAUUGGGCUUCCAAAUAUGUAUAAUCUCAUUCUACACUUUCCUAUCUUCAUUUUGAUAUAUUAUCAGUCGAAUUUGAUUAAGAAACGAUUGAGUUAUGAAGCUUUGAAAAUUGUCCAAACUUCCAAUCAAGAGCUCCGGGACACUUAACGGAAUGAUCAAAAUGAUGGAUGGUGGACAAUCUCAGGGACCACUUUUAUUGAUUUGAAAUGUUAGGGACCAAAGUGAUGAGUUAUGCAAAUUUCAGAGACCAUUUUGGCUAUUUAGCCUUUUUGUUUUGGCAUGCUACCUCUUUUGGAUCUACGGGUGAAAGAUGGAGCUAUUAAAUUUGCUGAAUCUACAUUACUUGGUGUUCUAAAACCGUGACAGUAAUUAAAUAAUGCGAGUGAUCUAUGGACAUUAGACUUCCUGUCCAAUAUAUGAUUUGAGAUUUUGUUCUCACAUGCUUAACGCCACAUCAUCACCAAUCUAUUUUGCACUCAGUACAUCACAUGACAUGCUUUACCAAAUAACUCCUAUUUUUUUUUUCCAUUAGUGGGUCGCUCUAGUAAUAAAGUAAUUUCAUGGAACGCAAAGUACAACACAUACAUGAUCUCUUUCAGCCCUGGUUUGGUACUAAGGUGAUUCUGAAAAAAGUGGCUAUCAAAAAAAGCUGGGAGCUUUUUUAUAUUUCGUAAACAUUCAGCUUCAGCUUUUUUUCACAGUUUUGGGUGAAAAAAGCCAAAAACACAAAGCUGCAAAACUCAGCUUUGAAAAACCAGCUUUUUUUUCAUAUCUGUUUUACAUAAAAGUUUAUCAAAUACAUAAUACUGCUUUUUUUUUUCAAAAGCACUUUUACAAAAAAGUUUACCAAACAUUCUGCUGCUUUAUUUCACAGCUGCUUAUUCUCACAACACAACAGAAGCAGUUUUUUUUCAAAGCAUAGCAAUAUCAAACCAAUCCUCAGUCCGGCCAUUUAUGGCUUUAUGUGACUCACUGUCUCUCUCUCUAACAAAAGUCACUUUCUUGGCCUUCGUUUUCAAGAAGGAAGAUUUUCUCCUCUCUUCUCUUGUGGUCUCUCUCAUUUCCUCUCCUCCUACUUGAACAGUUACGGUUAAAUCACAUCAAAAUUUUAUAUUAAUUUUUAUAGAGACAAUAAGACAAAAAACAAAAUGUAAGAGAAGAGAGAAAGCGGGAUGAAAAUAGCAGGAGAGAGAAUCCUACCCCCAUUUUCAGUUCAACUACAAAAAUGGACUUCAAAUCUGCUCAAUUGUGUCGUGGUGGCUUCUCAUAAAUAUUACGGAAUGUUCACAUGUUCAUGUUAUGAAAGGAACGAUCCUCACAUAUACAUAGCCUUUUGACCGAAUCACGUUCGCCUGUUAAAUUCCCUGAAUUCUUGAGCGGACUUCCAACCGCUCUAUAAUUUCUAAUAUACAAGACAAUAGCUCGAUGCAACAACCAAAUCUUUUCAGGAAUUUCUGUGCUAUUUAAGCAACAAAGUUUCUAGUUUACAAGCUUGGCAUGUGCAGAAAAGACAGACAAUACGACAGUAACGAACACAGCUAUAAACCUAUGCUUAAGAAUGGCGAUAAUGUGAAGAUCGCGUUCCUUAAAACGCUGAAAAUGUGAUGGAAACAAGAGGGGUGCCAGUGUCCGAAUUGUUCAGGCAAAAACUUCAAACAAAUUAUAUCAUUACAAUUGAUGCACCUGAACAAUUUAUCAGCUCUACAGUUCUACACUAGCUCAUAGGAUCCAAUUCAUCCGUUGUUUAUGCGCUUUUACCAAAUUUUGCUAUCAAAUAGAUACUUUAUUAUAAGUAUAGUAUAUGACAAUGUAAGUAUGUACCCCAGAUUUGAAACUAGUUUGUCAACGCAUCUGUAUCGAGGACUAUUUUCAUAGAGGGGAGCACAACUGCAGCCACUGGUCUUUCGGCCAUACCACCACCUUCAUCAAUGGUCAGUUUGAGGCCUUCAAUGUUAAGUUUCGCGUGAUGACCACUUACGACAAUAGUUGGUUUCUCUGUCAGUUACUAUCAGGACCACAACACCGAAUAUCUAUUGAUUCCAGUUGCAUUUCAUUGUAUGUUGUAUAUCAAAUCUCAGUUAACCCACAAAAGAUGAAGUCUUUAUUGAGAACUAACGAACAUAAGAAAUACAAAAAUCAUCGGACAAUAAACAACGAACGUUUCAGUAGAAAGGAUUGCUGAUAUUAAGAGGUGGAAAGCCAUUUCCUUUGGUAUAUCCCAUACAUUUUUCCUCCCACUCAGAGCCUCUAUCUUAGGCACCCGGGUGUCUUUGGCUUUCAAAAACGCCAACUGCUGCUUGACAUCUUUAUCUUUCUCUAAACCAGCAUGCACAACAAUCAAUCUACAGUGUUUGAUUCGAUCUGCAGUCUCUAUGCAGACAUUAUCCUGGAAAAAACGCACAUCAUCAAGACCAACUAAGCUUCAGCAUUAGGUCAUACAGUUCUCAACUACUGCAUUCCGCUCCAGCACACACAAAAAGAAUGGGAGAGUGAACCAAUUGAAAUUUAAAGGUUUUUUCUCACAUUUUAGUAAAUUUUACACCCCCGGCUCCAGUGUUCAUCCAAAAAAAAAAAAAGAUAGGAAAUAGAACAGGCCUCACCUCUUCAUGGACCCAAACCAUAUCAGAAAGAAACCUCUUGUGUUUGUCAGGAAUAGCCUUAACCAAAUCUGCCCAUAACAAUCAUUCUUUCAACACAGAAAACUACAGAACAAAGCUACAACAUUGAAUUUGCAAAUAAAGCACACGGACCAGUCCGAGUAUAAACAUUUUAAGUAUAUGACACUAGGUGACCAAAUCACUGAAUACUAACAAGUUCUUUUUUGACAAAGACCAUAUUCUAAACUAUUCUAAACUAUGGGAAGGGGGACUUGCGUUUGAGUGCAAAGGGCGGGAACAUUGCCCUAGAAAACUGCCCUAACCCACGUUUGCGAAUAAUAAUAAAUUAAUAACAUAAUGGUACAUCCAUAAUGACAAAAGAACUUAACAAAAUGAUCAAAUCAACAAACAAUCCAUAACAAAAGAACUUAACAAAAUGGAUUAAAUCAACAAACAAUCCAAAACAAAAAUCCAAAAUCAGCAAACAAAAAAUCCAUGAAUCUCACACACAAAUCCAGCAAAAUUGAAACACAUACCAGCAGAACCAUGUGGGACCCCAUAGGAUUCAAAUGUGGGCCCAGCAUCAUAAAUCGACCCUUUGUACUCCGCCCCUUUUGCUGCAUUAAACUUGGCCUUGAUCUUCCCACCCCAUCUCCUGCCCUGCAAGUGCAUUCUCUCGUACCCAUCUCCCUUAAACCAACCUUCUCUCUCCUCGCUAUCCGCAUACUCCUUCCACACCUCGGAAAACUCCGACCCGUCGGGAGGCGGCGGCAGGACGCCCACGAAGGCGGCGAUGGCCAGGUCGUGGUUACCGGAGAGGAAGAAGUGCUUCUGAUUCGGAUAUCUGGUGGGAAGGGAGCUGAGAAAGUCGAUGACUUUCCUGGUGUCCGGGCCGCGGUCGCAGUAAUCCCCGAGGAAAAUGAUGAGGGCGGUGGAGAAAUCUGAUGGGUCGAUGGCGGAUUGGAGAUUGGACCAGAGAUUCUGGAGCUUGGUGUGGAAGCCAUGGGUGUCGCCGAUGCAGGACACCACUCUGGGUUUUGCUUUUGGGUCUGACAUUGAAUCUCUGUGCAGAUUUGUGCGGAAAGUUUGAGUCUUGACUCUUGAGAGCCUGGGGAUUAUAUAUGUUGGGUGUUCGUGGCUGUCAUUUACCGCCGGUUGUGUAAUUUUUCUGGUUUGAACGUCUCACACAGUUUACGUGAUGUUAUUACAAAUUUGCAAUGUCAUAUUGACAUUCGAUUACAUUGGAAGUGAAUUGAUAAUAUUCCUUGAUGUAACGAUUGUCGUACUUAAAAGUUUAUUUGUUCAUCGACCAUAUUACCCAUAAAAUUACGUCAUAAGGUUAAUAAAUGUGAUACAUGUAAUAUUAUUUGUUAGUCAUAGAGUUAUAGACUUUGCCUGUUAUGCAAGUGAGUCAUAGCAUAACAAAAAAGAUGCACGUAAAAUCUAAUCGUUUACUAAAAAUGAAACUUGUCUACGGAACGUUCAUAUCACACCACUCACAAUAAUCAUGACAUUCCAACUCGUUCAGAAAUUGCAUUUUUGGAUAAACCCUAAUUAAACACUCCUCCACCAGAAACUAGAAAACUAACACAAAUUACAAAAACUAAUACUCUCCCCAAGACUUUCUAAUAUGAUGCAGUAGUAUUGAAAGUUGGUUCUUUCUCUAUCUCCUUUGGAAGUUGAGGAACUUGAUGCCAUAGGCAAACACAAAGAAGAAAAGAAGCCCAGCCGACGUGUGCGGCGGCGACGGCCGGAAGGAAGUCAUACUCAAAACCAAGGUCAUCUUUGAGGAACUUCUUCAAUGGCAUGGUGCCAUAUCCAGGCAGGAUAAGGUCAGCAUUCUUGUCACCCACUUGGGAUGUUACAAGGCCAUAAAGUGUCCAGGCCACAGGGGAAGCCCAGUAGUACCACCUCCACCAUAUUGGUAUUUGC
rnacentral:lncRNA from 1 species